UUCUGAAAAAAUAUGGAUUUAAAAAGAAACUUGAAGAUUUGCACUUAUGUAAAAAUAACAAAAAAAAAAUGGAUGUGGAGUCGAGGUGGAUAUCGGUGCGAGUGCGUGCGUGUGUGAGACAGAGUCAUACAUUAGUCUGCACAAUGUAUUUUUUUCAUUGCUUACCAAGAUGUAUCAAAAGAAGAGAGGCCAUUAUUGUCAUUUUGUUGAAGUGAGGAUUUUGUAUUUGUGUGUGUGCGCGCGAGGCAGAGUGGGCAAUAUUGCACAAGGCAUCAUUCUCAUCACCAGCUCUUAGUCCCUGGAUAAAUAUGUUUUCCUUCUUCCCUGGCAGUUGCCCCAGUCCCAGCCUGCCUCUCAUGAUUGAACACCUGUUCUGCUUCCCUCUUGCGUUAACAUUUCUCUUCGGGACAUGUGGCUCAGCUCCAGCAUGUACAGCCACCUGCGUGUGCACCUUCAGUCCCCAGCCUCUGCAUGUGUCCCCAGCUGCGUCUGUGCAGCCACCUGCGUGUAGGCAAUCAGUCCCUGGCCUCUGCUUGUGUGCCCAGCUGCAUCUGCGCAGCCACCUGCAGGUGGGUCAUCAGUCCCCGGCCUCUGACUGUGUCCCCGGCUACACUGCGCCUCUUCAUGCGUUUCGUGUGAGUAUCAGUGCUUGCGUGGGUGUAAGCUAGACUCCUGUGCUGUCUCCUCGUGCCGGGUGGCGUUCCUGUUUGUGUUGUCCGGAUCGGCCUUUCUCUGUUGGUGUGUUUGUGAAUUCGUCCCAGCAGCUUCAACUGGAGCCUAAGGAGCCUGAAGACUUGUGAUUCUCUCUCUCAUUUCUCAAGCUCUUUCCCUCUGGCAUGGAAAGCAGGUCUUUACUUUGCUUUGUGGGCAGUGAAAGUGUGCCGUCUCACCUCCCCAUUCCAGCCUUCUGGCCCUUGUGGUUCUCCAUAUUUGUCCAGGGACUCUCUUGAAAGAGAAAAUCAUUUGUUGUCAGUUCUUGGAUGUGAUUUAUAUUGCCUGUUGUCGAUUUGUCAUGCAACUUGGAGAGCAUGAAGGAAUGGAGUGAAUGUUUGUGUGCGUGGGUGAGUGGGUUUUCUACCGAGCUAUAAAAGAUACAGACAUCUGAACUGUGUUAAGAAACAGCCAGAUGUGCAGAUGUUAGUAUAUUGUGUUACUCUCAUUGUUGUUGCUAUUGAUGAUGAUGACGAUGCUAAUUUUGUCUUUUUUAUAUAUCCAUUAUAUAUAUAAAGUGAUAAGUAUUUGAACUAAGAUUCAGAGCACUUUGAGGCUGCUAUGAGUCUUCAUUGCCUCCCGUCUAAGUGCGUUUGUGUUUUUUCUGUUUCGAAACAAAAAACAUUGAAUGUAUUCCAAAACAGAACGGAAAUGGAGGAAAAAAUGAUCCCAGAUUCUCGCGCCUGACGGGACGCGGGGAUUAUUUCACAGAGGAAUCGGACGGAAGGUGGAGGCUUUGUUCUUUUUUUAUUUGUAUAAAAAAAACUCAAAAUGACAAAAAAAAGUAAUUUUAAAAAAAACCUACGAACACCAGACUGCUACUGUUGAAGACACUGCCUCUUCUGAACCCUGUCAAAACCAGUUUUUUUAUACCUGUAUUCCUCACUGGGGGUGUGUGGUUGUUUACAGGCCUCCUGGAAAUCUGAUGGGUCCCCCCCUUACCCCCCCCCCCACAUGCGCGAUUGAUCCACGCGGGACUCUUCUGUCACAAGCGCUCGAAACAGGAAGAGGAAGUGGCGGGGCAGGGGGGGUUGGCAUUUCCGUUCCUACAAUGUGAUAAACACCCCCCCCCCCCAGAUCCCCAUCCCAAAACAGUUUUUUUGUAGGAAUAAGUGGUGUGGGGGGGGAAGGGGAGAGAAACAGGGGCGUACCACAACACAACUGGUUUUACAAAAACUUGUGAAAGAUUUUUUUUCUGGGGGGAGGGGGUGGGAAUCUUCUUGGGGGGAGGGGGGGGUGUUAUGUUCGUUGAGUGUGAAGAUUUUUUGUAUGGCUAAUUUUUUUUGUCAUUUCAGUUUUGGCUUAAACUGCCUGUUCAUUUCAGAAAAGAGAGAGCGGGGAAAAAAACACACAGAAGCCGAACGGCUUAAACUAAGGAGAGAAUCUGUCCGGUACACGACACUUCAAUCAGAAAAGAAGUCUUUGCUUCAUUUUUUCAGGCGAUGAUUUUUGUUGGGGAUAGUUGGUUUUAUUUUAUUUUUUUUUCCACAUUGCUAAAAAAAAAAAAGAAAAUCUAAAAAAAUACAGGUGGGUUGGAGUGGAGGGCCGCAAGGAGCUGAAGGCCCAGAAGGAAGGAAGAUGGCGCCUCUGCUGUCUGAGGAAGUGUACAACUGGGAAUGCCAUCUUCCGAUUGGAAGAAUUUUUCCACGGUUUUCCUUGGGGCAGAGAGAGGAGAAAUGCCCCUGGAUGGGUCCUGCUGGGGCGUCCCACUAUGCACUUUUGUUCCUUGGGGGGGGGGGAACAGGUCGGGGGCAACUGUGAGGAUGUUCUCAAGCUGGCAGAAGGCGGGAGACGGGGCACGUCUGGGGCGGACGAGAAGCUUGCGGAGCCCAGCCGGGACCGGACGCUGGGCUGGGCGAGAGAGGAGGUCGAGACUUUCUCUCUCUCACACAGACACGGGACAGACGCCCGCGCCCUCUUCCGCAGCGCGGGGGAGGGGCCGCGGGACGGACUCGGCGACCGCUAGCAAGGACAACGCUGGGGAUAGCCGGGCCUCAGCCAUGAAGGAAGCUCUGGAAGCUGAACCCCCAAAAACGAGCUCCAAGCGUUCUUUCGAAGCCUCUGCCAGUCGAGAGCACUGCGGGCCCCCUCCCCCCAACACACACACACACACACACGCCCCAUCCCAACAUUUUUCCGUGACCGCUCCCUCCCAGGCCGAUCCGGGACAGGGCCGGGCGGGAGUUUGGGGAGCCGGGACAGCAGCGACGAGCCCAGUGAACGGGAAGAGACCGGAACUGGCUGGAGGGUGUCCGGCAGAUGGAGACCUUUGCCAUUCCGUUUCCCAUGGAUCACAAGCCCGUGUCGCUGCAGUGGGUGUCCCAGGAACUUCUAUCAGAGACAAAAAAAAACUUUUUAACCUGAACCAGAAGGGAUUUUGGAGAUCAUAUAAAGUACAUGCUGGUUCAAGCUGUGGAUAAUCUUCCUGACUGGCCUGGAUUGUUUUUGUUCAAAUUUGGUUUGUUCAGCAAAUUGGCCAAAUGGAGGAGGAACACAAGCAAGUUUUUUUUAUACUUUUCCCCCUUCUUCUGCGGGAGGUGGAGUGAAGAUUUUCGGCGCGUUGGAGGGAGAGAAGGGGCCACACACCAGUCGGAGACACAAGGAAUUGCAUGUCCCACAGCUUCAGAAGGACCUUCCCUCGACCUCCCGUGCGGACAGACUAUGAAUGUCCUCCUCGCUCCUCCUGCCUCUCCCAGCUUGCACCCCGGCACCGCCUUCGCUCGUUUCCCUUUCGUGAAGGACGGGCCGCAAGUCUCCGCCCAGCUCUUUGGAGUUGGGGAACGGAGAGCAGCUGUGACGGUGUCGGCAGAGGGGUUGGAGGGGGUUCGGGGAUCAUCCGCCUGUUAUCCCAGUGUAUCCGAAUUCCUGUUUUUCCAAUCCCCCCUCCCACCUUUUUUGUUUGGAUUUGGUUUGGAACUUUUCCAGGAAAGUCUGGUUCAUUUGAUUUGAUCUUUUCCUCGUGCCCUCCCCCUCUGCCCCUCCCCUGGCCGGACGGACUCGGCGGAGCUCGGGCCCUGUCUCCGCGCCGAGCCUUCCUCUUCUCCAAACACAGCCGGGAGCAGGGGGGGGGCACCUCCGGGGCAGGAGUGCAGAGAUCCAGGGAGGGCCCCGCCUCGAACCGUCGGCCCGAAUCAGCCAGCCCCCCUGCACGGCUGGGUGCGGGGUGUGAGUGGGCAGGCUCAGGGGACCCCUGUUCCUCCUGGCUCUGAACGGGCCAGCAGCUGGACUGUGAUGUGUCUCAUAUUGUACAUAAAAGAAGAAGAAAGAGCUUCUAAUGUAAAUAAUGUAAGAUGUUUGGUUUUUGUUUUUGUUUUUUUCCAAUUUCGUUGACAUGCCUUAACUGUACAAAUCAGCCACCCCUCGUGGCUCACGCGUUCUUUUUAUGAUGACAUGCGGGGGGGGGGGGGGGGGGAAAGCUCACAGAUUUAAAAAUGGGGGAACACCGAGAGCGAGCCGUAGCCAUGGCGCCUCCCCCUCGGGCCUCACCUGUGUGGCGAGGGGGUGUGGUCUCGCCCAGGUGAGCGACCAGCGGGGAGGGGGCAGGGGGUCGACGCCCGUUCCCAGGCCGCGCAGGCCAGCGAGCUUCCAGAAACUGAGCGCAGGGAUGGGACUGAGAUGCCUUGGCAGUCUCCCUCUGAAUCAUGUGCACAAGUGUUAAAAUAAAGUCCAGUCUGAAGCGCCGAUAUGUAGCCGCUGUGCAGCCUCUGUGCCGGAGGUCUGCGCGCACCUGCGCUGGGCUGCGCCUGGCCCGACGGGCGAGCUGCCCCCUGCUGUGCAGCCAGCAUCUGCUCUCAAACCCACUUGCUGAUUCCUGGUACCAUCGCUUAUGGGGAGGAGGGGGGGGGCUUUUUAUUUUCCUUUUCUUUGCUUCCCGGCCUCAGUGCUGGAGGCCGGACUGUGUUGUGCUUCUUUGCGCUUGACUGGAGUUGUGCCAAAUAGCCACUCUGCCAGAUAGCGUUUCCUGGCCGCAUUGGGCACCGUGGGAGUCGAGUAUAUUCUCCCCCUGCGUGGCUGGAUAGGAUUGUCAAAGUACUGUCCCCUUGCGGGGAUAGCAUUGCAGAUCAGUGCCUACAAGCGUGCUGUGGAAUUUCAAGUGUGCAGUUGCGCCCAACUUGCAGAAUUUGCUGUGUAAUGUGCUUGUACAGAGCCCCAUUAACAGGAUGUGCUCUGUAGAUGCCAUAGAGCAGCUCUACAGACCUGUUUCUGAAGAACUCCAAUCCUGUGGGCCUUAGGCUUCACUGGUUUCUAAAGAUUGGCAACACCCGUGUGUGACUGCUAAAUUAAGCAAGUCGCCCAUUCAAACAGCAGAAGCCUGGUCCUCGAAGGCUGAAGGAGUGCACAGAUUCCAAUUCACAUUGAUCUCCAAAUUGUAUUAUUUAAUAAGUUGCCUGACAAGCAGGUUUAAAUCUGAAACCUAUUCAACCUGAAAGUCGUGGCCUUUCUGGAACCAGGCCUGAACUGGCUGCUCUGGAUCUUGACACCCAGUGCUUCUGGGACAGGGGUCGCUGUGCGGCAGGGCGGUGUUUCACAGAACAGCAGGCGUCGGCUGAGCUGUUCUGUCUUACUCUGUGUGGCUCUCUGGCAACGGCGCGGUGCCUCCGAUUGCAGCAACAACACUAGACUUAUUUUUGGUUCGAUGGGCCUGGAGGUUGAUUGAGGAUUUAGGGAACUGAAUAUCGGUCCCGUGUUCCCCGAUUGGUAUGGCAGCCGGACUCCGGACCCCCUCGCUCACAGCACAGAGGAUUGUCCCAUUUCGGGGAAGCUAGCAGUAGGCACAGAGGUGUUCAGGGCUGUUGCCUUAUUGCGAAAGGAUUUGCAGAGUUGCCGUUAGGAAAGUCUCUGGCUUCUCCGGUUUGGGCUGAGUUGUGAACGAGCAAGGGUUGGAGGAGAGCUGUCGGUGUGCACAGAGUCUGGUCUGCUCCCUAGGUGGGACCUGUUCACCUCUGUUCGUGCACAUUGCUUGUUUGAGUCUCAGGAUGGUCAAACGAACCUCUUGCAGAGGAAGCUGGAAUAGUUAAUUACCCAGAUACCUAGGGAAAGGCAUUAGCUUAUCUUGUUCUCUCGAUUACCCUCCAAUGCCUAUAUCUCCUCCAAUGAAACAUUCCCCUACACUUACCGAACAGAGAAAGAAAAGGGGACAGUGUAGAUGUUGUCUUUGCCCCGGGCAGGAGGUGCCGCGCUGUCACAUGACUCUUGUGAAAAGGUGUGAACUGGCAGUGACAACACGUUGAUGGUAAUAUUGGGAGGGUUUUUACAGCAGAAAGGUGGACUGGGGGCCUUUUUCUAACUGGCUUCUCUUUGAUUAUUGUUCUUGGUGUGAUCUUUUAGCUGUGCAGGAUCUUCUGGUCCAGUUCAGGGCAAGACUGUUCAGUGAAGAGCUGUGAAGUCCAGUACAGCACAGGGUGUAGAACAGUACUGCAGAAUAAAGAGUAUGGAGAUCAGUCCAGUAGAUCUAUGCAACAGAGCCGUAUAGUAAAGUCCAGAUCCAGAAACCGGGUUAAUUUGGUACAGAAAAGCCUGGAACAGCCCAGGACAAUAAAAAUUAAAAAUGUUUCCAGUACCGCAAAGUCUAGAACUAUAAACCCAGGCCGUCACAAAGUCCAGAACUUGAAGAUAAGAUCAGCCCAGCCCCUGUGAUUUUUUUUUCUGCACCGGAACUUUGAAAUUCACCCACUGAUAUGCAGAAGUAGAGAGGCAGUCCUGGUCUUGAAUGGGCCUGUGAUGUCAGUAGGUUUUCACUCCAGACUCCAGGCCUGUUAUUGGCUGGAUUGGACCAACAGAUCUGUCUCGUUCAGCUGUCAGGGUCCUGGGGCCGUCAUCGGACAUAACCCAGACACCCUGGCCCUCCAGGACCAGGACUGAGCAGGCCUGAUCCAGCUGUGCUAGGUUACGUCAUAGUUCCUUCUGUAAUGUUCUCCCAUGCAAGAUGUUUCGGAGAAAAUGAGCUCCUUACCUUACAGCAUGUCUGCUGCCUCCCACCUUCUGCGUCUUCCGACUCCACGAUCCCAAGUGACGCUACGCCUGUCUGCUUUCUCUGGGGCUUUUCCAGCGCACUUUCAGCACCUGUCUUCCCGAACGAUUCCAGUCUGAUUUUAUACUUAAUGUGGGAGAAAUAAAUAUUUAAUGGGGAUUCAGUUCUUCUGGUGCUGCAUCUGCAUUCUGCAGGGCGGGCAGUCUCGUCUUUUUCUCACCAUUGUUCCCAGUAGGGUCCAUUAAAAUGUUGAACACAGAGAAUUCCAGUGCUGUUCAUAAAACGUAAUGCAGUAUUUUCCCAAAGCCCUGGCAUCUUUAAGUUUAGAUGGGGAUACACACAGAUCCUCGCCUUGAUGUAUUACUUGCCAUCCCAGCGUGCUUUGCUCUCAGGAGCUCCCCUACACAGUGGAUCGGAGAUGUGACCUCUCUGUGUGCUUGUUUUGUUUUGGAGGUAUUCUGAUUUUAUACGAGAAGGGUCAGACCUUAUGUAACGAAUGUGGCUUGUGAUGUGGAAACCCCACCUCUUAAGGGAUAUCUGUCCGUAUCCGGACCGGUAAGAGGGAUGACCGCUCCAGCCAAAAGCUCCUUGCCGGAGCUGGUCAAAAGUUUAAUAAGUGCCAGUGGUACACACUGGCGUUCUCGACAUCAGUAUUGCCCCUGUGUAUCGUGAUAGUAAUCCUAGAUUUGAACCCCCAACUGCUAGGAUGAGCGAGUGUUCAGUGGGAUUGUCUACCGAUAAGUCGAUUGUUUGAUACCAAGGUUUUUUAAUUUGCACAGACCUAUUUAAUACUGUAGGUUUUUAACUGGAAUUAAACCAGUUUUUGUAUUGUGAUUGUACAGAACUGUGAGCAGCAGUGUUUCAAGUUGUCUAAAUAUUUUAAGAACCUCCUAGGUUUCCUUUCUGCUGUAACAGAACAGUGGGGUUUCUGGACUGAGGAGCAGAAUGAGACGAGCUGUUGCUUCUUAUCCCGUGCUCCGGUCAUGGUCCUGUUUGUGUUUUAAUUUUGGCUUCACACAAUUCUGCCUUUUCACACCCAUUUCGCUCAGCUCCAGCUUUGAACUUUGUGAAUGUUCUAGAGAUCUAAAACGAAACAGAACAACUGAAAGAAAAUGUAAAUAGUUUUUUCUUUGAAGAGAACAAAAAAUAAACCGAUUUAAAGUUGAA